rnacentral:rRNA from 1 species
GGACUCGCACAAGCGGUGGAGCAUGCGGUUUAAUUCGAUGCAACGCGAAGAACCUUACCAGGUCUUGACAUCCCGCUGCCAGCCCCAGAAAUGGGGUCUUCCUUCGGGACGGCGGUGACAGGUGGUGCAUGGUUGUCGUCAGCUCGUGUCGUGAGAUGUUGGGUUAAGUCCCGCAACGAGCGCAACCCCUAUCAUUAGUUGCUACCAUUAAGUUGAGCACUCUAAUGAGACCGCCGGUGACAAACCGGAUGAAGGUGGGG